AGUGAACGCUGGCGGUAGGCCUAACACAUGCAAGUCGAACGGCAGCACAGUAAGAGCUUGCUCUUACGGGUGGCGAGUGGCGGACGGGUGAGGAAUACAUUGGAAUCUACUUUUUCGUGGGGGAUAACGUAGGGAAACUUACGCUAAUACCGCAUACGACCUACGGGUGAAAGCAGGGGAUCUUCGGACCUUGCGCGAUUGAAUGAGCCGAUGUCGGAUUAGCUAGUUGGCGGGGUAAAGGCCCACCAAGGCGACGAUCCGUAGCUGGUCUGAGAGGAUGAUCAGCCACACUGGAACUAAGACACGGUCCAGACUCCUACGGGAGGCAGCAGUGGGGAAUAUUGGACAAUGGGCGCAAGCCUGAUCCAGCCAUACCGCGUGGGUGAAGAAGGCCUUCGGGUUGUAAAGCCCUUUUGUUGGGAAAGAAAAGCAGCAGGUUAAUACCCCGCUGUUCUGACGGUACCCAAAGAAUAAGCACCGGCUAACUUCGU
rnacentral:rRNA from 1 species